AGUGGGAUAGCUGGGUCAAAUGGUGGUUCCAUUCCAAGUUUUCUGAGGAUUCUCCACACUGCUUUCCAAAGUGGUUACACCAAUUUGCAGUCCCUCCAGCAAU
rnacentral:pre_miRNA from 1 species